AUUCCAAAAGUGAAACAAGUGCGCGUCGUGAUUAGUAUUUAGAAGGUGGCCAUUGUAGAACAAUAAAGUCAGUGUUGUUAGAAGCAUGCAGUGAAAGAAAUUGUUAAAAGCUAUUGUUAAAAGAUAAUGAAUGCAUGCAGUGUUAAAAGGACAAUUAUUAGUAGCUGUUAGUAUAAAGAGUGUUGUUUUGUAUUAGUACGAUAGCACGAAAAGUUAGUUGAAGAACAACGAAGC